UACGUAGGGCGCAAGCGUUAUCCGGAAUUAUUGGGCGUAAAGAGCUCGUAGGCGGUUUGUCGCGUCUGCCGUGAAAGUCCGGGGCUCAACUCCGGAUCUGCGGUGGGUACGGGCAGACUAGAGUGAUGUAGGGGAGACUGGAAUUCCUGGUGUAGCGGUGAAAUGCGCAGAUAUCGGGAGGAACACCGGUGGCGAAGGCGGUUCUCUGGGCCGUUACCUGACGCUGAGGAGCGAAAGCGUGGGGAGCGAACAGG
rnacentral:rRNA from 1 species